UUUGAAGCACAUCAGCUUCAUUCAGUCACACACAGCAGUCACUUGAACAACAGGAUCACCCCACGCCACUCAGAUCUGGACUACCGUUCACUUUUCACAGCCUGGAAUCCUGGAUGUCACGCCAUCAAGGAAAGCCUUCACCACUGGAACCAUGCUUCCGGAUUUCUGAAUGCCACCAACCUGAACCAACAUGGUGCUGAACAUUGGAUAGGCUUUGAUGGAUGAUUUGAACUGAUGGCGAGCUGCCCUGGAACGAACUGGAAAACAGUCUGACAAGUUUCACGCCUUCACCCACCCCACUCAUUGGCAGGCCUCAAGCCCCACAGCUUCAUCCCUUCCCCAAUGGUGUGUCCUGCCCACCACACUGCUACAGUCCUCCAGAUAGAGGACUUGGACCUCUGCAGUUAUCCAGAUAAAGGACGUUAAUCCCUGGUGGGUUUCUGGAAGCUGGAUCCGCCUCCCCAGGAAGACCUGGACCACCUGACUGCUCCGCUCGACCCGGCUGCUUGCUGGAUCACUGGAUCCUCCCACCCGGACCGGUUGCACCCCUGGCUCUCCCCUCUGUCCGCCGCCACUCUUUGCCGAUCGCCGUCAACGUGUGCCUCCCCGACUGCCGGCCCCACCUUCAGUCCUAGUUUGAUUAUGCGCCCCCUCCCCCCCCAAUUCUGUUUUGUUUAGUUGUUAUUAUUGAUUUAAACCCAUUUAAUUGGAAUCUGUCUCUGCCUUUCUGUGUGCUGUCCCUUUGGGUUGUUUUGUAUCAACUUUAAAGUGUAUUAGGUGUGCUUUGAAUGUCAACAUUACCAAAGUAUAUCUAAAUAUAAAGAAAAGAUACCAACCAGCAAGACAGAGGAGAGAGGCCUACUCUGUGUGUGGGCAUGCAAAUCUUGCUUUAUAGCAUGGGCUUCCCCAUUGACAGAUGGCAUCCCAUACAAAAAAAGAAAAAAAAUUUCUCUUUGGCACGAAACUAUGGAAUAAAACUGCUAAAUCAUGAAAAGAAAUCUGAUAAAUAUGGACAAUACAUUCUUUGGUCUGUGAAGACCAAAAAAACCCCCCAAAAAACAUGUUUGACUCAGCAUGCUUAGGGUGAACCUGGCCAGAACUGCCACAAUGAAUGCACAAUCCUGACAGCCCUGACCUAUCAGUACGCAGCCAGCCAGCUGGUGUCAUUGUUGACAGAGCAUGAUGCUGACUCAGUUGUAAUCAUCUGUUCAAGAAUCUUGGGCCAAAAGUGACCUACAAUGGGAUACUGUGUUGGAAUGAAGUGUUAUUUCUGCUUAGCAUUGGGAAGCAUAGAUUUCCUAUUUGUUGAAAUAUUUACAUUGUUGUUAGUCAAAAAAAAAAGUGACCCGUGACUACCUCAUUUGCUUAAAUCACUGUGGUUACCCCUCCUGCAUUUACAUUUCCUGAUUACAGAGAAUCUCAAAGGUUAUACUUUCUUCCAGGUUAACACAAGGCAUGUAUAACUAAAAAGUAAUAUUGGAGAUGUGAAUAGAGUGGAGCAGAGCUCAGAAUGAAAUUAUGAUUGAAAUUCAGUUGAGAUGAGCCGUCUCUGGAAUAGUCAACUCUAAACCAAGCUAACAGCCACUUUUUUUUCUCUUUAUUAGCUUCAUCUCAAUUCCAUCAAUUCAAAUUUAGUCAAGAUUGGACUGGGGCUCCAAAAAAAAAAAAAAAAUGCCCUAGAUGUUUUUAGCCAUACCAGCCCAUGACAGCCAGCCAGUGUAUAGUCUACAACCCCUGCUGCAACAAUGUACAUACAGUAAAGGGCUGUAAAGUUUGUGAACUCUCUGCAGUUUUCUACAUUUUUGCUCAAAUUUGACCCAUUAUCAGAGUUUCAGAAGUCCUAAACAUAGAUAAACAGAACUCAGUCUAACAAAUUACAUAGGAAUACAUUUAUUUUUUUUUUGAGGAAAAUUACUCCAUAAUCCAUAUGUGUAACGGGCAAACGUAUAUGAACCUCUAGGAUUAACAGUUAAUGUGACAGUAUAAAAUUCUUAUGAUUAGUAAAACAUAAUUCCUACUCUUCAUUUGUACAGCAGCUGUAUUCUCUAAUUUGCUGUUGCAGUGACGAAUAAUUUUUCUGAAAUAUUAAAGUUAAAAAAAUGAA